rnacentral:rRNA from 1 species
UCAGAACGAACGCUGGCGGCAAGCUUAACACAUGCAAGUCGAACGGAUUGUUAUCAUAGCUUGCUAUGAUAACAAUUAGUGGCAGACGGGUGAGUAAUGCAUAGGAAUCUACCUAGUAGUAUGGGAUAGCCACUAGAAAUGGUGGGUAAUACUGUAUAAUCCCUGCGGGGGAAAGAUUUAUCGCUAUUAGAUGAGCCUAUGUUAGAUUAGCUAGUUGGUAGGGUAAAGGCCUACCAAGGCAGUGAUCUAUAGCUGGUCUGAGAGGAUGAUCAGCCACACUGGAACUGAGAUACGGUCCAGACUCCUACGGGAGGCAGCAGUGGGGAAUAUUGGACAAUGGGCGCAAGCCUGAUCCAGCUAUGCCGC